AUGGUGACCAAUGUGGCUAAGAGCUCUAUUGCCCCAAUUCGCUGCUCCGAUGUUGACCUCACCGCAGUUCUGGCAAACUUCUCGGCGGCUAUCACCCAGUUCCCUCUCAAGUAUUUGGGGUUGCCCUUGUCGCUUGGUAGACUCAGAAGGACCGACCUUCAGCCAUACAUUGAUAAAGCUGCGUCAAGGUUGAACCCUCUGAAAGGAAGAUUCCUAAAUCGGGCGGGGUGCUGCACUUAUGUGAAAUCUGUCCUUUCUUCCAUGCCGAUCUUCCUCCUGACCGCUAUCAAAGUGGAUAAAGGCUUCCUAAGGGCUAUGGCCAAGAUCUGUCGCGGUAUGCUAUGGGACUGCAAGGAAUCUGUCAGCGGUGGGAAAUGCAAGGUCAACUGGCAGAAGGUCUGCCGCCCUAAGGAGCUUGGUGGAUUGGGGAUCCUAGAUUUGGAAAGGUUCUCCCGCGCCCUUAGACUUCGCUGGCUUUGGGACGAAUGGAAGGCUCCUGAAAAACCUUGGGUAGGUUUUGAA
rnacentral:rRNA from 1 species